UUUUGUUUGUUUGUUUUUCAAUAAACAGUAAAAAUGAUCUCUACAGCAACUGGUAGCUCAGGCACUAAGGUUAUUUGAGAAAAUUGAAUUGAGCUGGGGAGAAACUGUGUUUAUGAAGUGUGUAGUGCCUGCAAACAAACAGAAAAAGAUGCAUAUUCCCUCAGCAAUAGCUACUUCCAGAGAGCAGAGAAUGUCGAUAAGUAGGCGUAUGAGGUGGCUAUAGCAAAUAGUGCAGACAGAGGAGGAGAACCAGAUGUUGCAAUGCUGUGACACUGCAUAGAAGACCGAUGUGUUACAUUAAAAUAAGCAGUUUCCCUGCUACAGCUGGCCAUGCAUAGCACACUGUACAGUUGGAAUUUGUAAUGUCAUAGCAUCUGCUUCUGUGUAAGGCUUUCAUUUUAUUUUUCAGACAAUUAUAAUCUCUCUCAUUCUCUCUCUCUCUCUCUCUUGAUAACUCAGAUUUGCUUGACAGAAGAAAAAAACAGCUGCAGUGUUGUCAGGAUCUCUAACUGCAAUCCUCUGGUGAUGAAAGAGACCCCAGAAAUUACGUAUAGUAUGCUGCAGUGAAAACAUAAAAAGCCUCAGUUUCCUACCUGCUGCACCCCAGUCAUUUUCUCUUCUUGACACAAGAUGGAGAAGAGGGGACAACCAGUAGUCAGAAAGGGUCACUGUUCUCUGGGUCUGCCUCCUGGUGAUGGUGCACAGUUUACAGAAGAUGGCCCUUGGAGGAACUGCUUGCCUUUUGCAGUGACCAAAGGUUUCCACUCUUUGAGUGGAGGAGGCAGAUUCAAGAAAGCUGCAAUCGCUGAAGUGUGCUUAUCAUCUUCCCUCAUGGCAUCUUCCUCCUUGAAUUGUGCUUGUUGUGCUUGCUUCCUCCUUUGCUGCCCUUGUGAGAUGUCACAUUUCAGUUGGGUAAGCAAUUUGGUUGUAGCUCUAAUCAGAAAGAGGUGUCCAAGCACCAAGAUUAGGGGCUUAGGGUUGAUUUCUCCUCCCUCCCCCACCCUGUAUCCUGUAGUAAAUCAUUUGUGUACAGCACCUCAGCAACAUAGCAAAACAAAAGCUGCUGACAGAAACUUUGAAGGAGUCAGUCUUUCAUAUACAUGAAUAACUUGGCAUGACCGAUGCAGCAAAAGGAGGAUUGAAUGGUUGCUGUCUACAAAUACAAAACAAGGUUACUUACCUAGAAGAGCAUAGAACUAAAAAGUAUUAUAAAAGGAUGAAUAGUUACAUCCUUGCCUUGAAUAAAAAUUAGCUGUAAAUUAGAAGUCCCUUAAUG
rnacentral:lncRNA from 1 species